rnacentral:misc_RNA from 2 species
AACGCACAUUGCGCCCACUGGUAUUCCGGUGGGCAUGCCUGUUCGAGCGUCAUUAUCCUCCCUCAAACCUCGGGUUUGGUGUUGGACCCAAGUUGUGUGAACAACUGGUCUCAAAGACAAUGACGGCGUCCGUGGGACCCUCGGUGCAACGAGCUUUUUAACGAGCACGCGUCGAGUUUCAAGGACCUUCCGGGCCGGUCUCCUUCUUUUAUUUACAAAGGUUGACCUCGGAUCAGGUAGGAAUACCCGCUGAACUUAA